rnacentral:tRNA from 1 species
GGGGCUAUAGCUUAGUUGGUAGAGCUUUUGCUUUGCAAGCAAAAAGUUAGCGGUUCGAAUCCGCUUAGCUCCA